AGAGUUCGCUGGACAGUCGCCGCUUGCGCAAGCAGGGGGAGGAAAGUCCGGGCUCCACAGGGCAGAGUGCCAGGUAAUGCCUGGGCGGCGUGAGCCGACGGAAAGUGCAGCAGAAAGGAAACCGCCUGCUACUUCGGUGGCGGGUAAGGGUGAAAAGGUGCGGUAAGAGCGCACCGCGUGACUGGUAACAGUUCACGGCGAUGGUAAACCCCACUCGGAGCAAGACCAAAUAGGAGUCCUAUGGUGUGGCCCGCACUGGACUCGGGUAGGUUGCUUGAGGUUUGUGGUGACGCAAACCCUAGACGAAUGACUGUUCUCGACAGAACCCGGCUUACAGGCGAACUCUGACU
rnacentral:RNase_P_RNA from 1 species